GAUGAACGCUGGCGGCGUGCCUAAUACAUGCAAGUCGAGCGAACGGACGAUAAGCUUGCUUUUCUGAUGUUAACGGCGGACGGGUGAGUAACACGUGGUUAACCUACCUAUAAGACUGGGAUAACUUCGGGAAACCCGAGCUAAUACCUGAUAAUAUUUUGAACCGCAUGUUUCAAAAUGGAAAGACGGUCUUGCUGUCACUUAUAUAUGGAUCCGCGCUGCAUUAGCUAGUUGGUAAGGUAACGGCUUACCAAGGCAACGAUGCAUAGCCGACCUGAGAGGGUGAUCGGCCACACUGGAACUGAGACACGGUCCAGACUCCUACGGGAGGCAGCAGUAGGGAAUCUUCCGCAAUGGGCGAAAGCCUGCCGGAGAAACGCCGCGUGAGUGAUGAAGGUCUUCGGAUCGUAAACCUUUGUUAUUAGGGAAGACAAUAUGUGUAAGUAACUGUGCACAUCUUGACGGUACCUAAUCAGAAAGCCACGGCUAACUACGUG
rnacentral:rRNA from 1 species